rfam:Pan troglodytes isolate Yerkes chimp pedigree #C0471 (Clint) chromosome 4, whole genome shotgun sequence.
AGUAAGACCAAGCUGCAUGCACCAUUUUCUUGUCUGUAGCCAUGUCUAUGGGCUCUGGAGUUGGCCACCUGGGUGAGGGCCUGCU